rnacentral:rRNA from 1 species
GGUGACUCAUAAUAACUGAUCGAAUCGCAAGGCCUACGGCCGCGAUAAGUCAUUCAAGUUUCUGCCCCAUCAGCUUUCGAUGGUAGUGUAUUGGACUACCAUGGCGUUUACGGGUAACGGAGGAUUAGGGUUCGAUUCCGGAGAGGGAGCCUGAGAAACGGCUACCACAUCUAAGGAAGGCAGCAGGCGCGUAAAUUACCCAAUCCUGACUCAGGGAGGUAGUGACAAGAAAUAACGGGCCGGGA